rnacentral:rRNA from 1 species
UACGUAGGGGGCAAGCGUUGUCCGGAUUUAUUGGGCGUAAAGAGCGUGUAGGCGGCCUGAAAGGUCAGCUGUGAAAACUCGGGGCUCAACCCCGAGCCUGCAGUCGAUACGGGCAGACUUGAGUGCGGUAGGGGAGACUGGAAUUCCUGGUGUAGCGGUGAAAUGCGCAGAUAUCAGGAGGAACACCGGCGGCGAAGGCGGGUCUCUGGGCCGUAACUGACACUGAGGAGCGAAAGCGUGGGGAGCGAACAGG